GAUGAACGCUGGCGGCGUGCCUAAUACAUGCAAGUCGAGCGAACGGACGAGAAGCUUGCUUUUCUGAUGUUAGCGGCGGACGGGUGAGUAACACGUGGAUAACCUACCUAUAAGACUGGGAUAACUUCGGGAAACCGGAGCUAAUACCGGAUAAUAUUUUGAACCGCAUGGUUCAAAAGUGAAAGACGGUCUUGCUGUCACUUAUAGAUGGUUCCGCGUUGCAUUAGCUAGUUGGUAAGGUAACGGCUUACCAAGGCAACGAUGCAUAGCCGACCUGAGAGGCGGAUCGGCCACACUGGAACUGAGACACGGUCCAGACUCCUACGGGAGGCAGCAGUAGGGAAUCUUCCGCAAUGGGCGAAAGCCUGACGGAGCAACGCCGCGUGGGUGAUGAAGGUCUUCGGAUCGUAAAACUCUGUUAUUAGGGAAGAACAUAUGUGUAAGUAACUGUGCACAUCUUGACGGUACCUAAUCAGAAAGCCACGGCUAACUACGUG
rnacentral:rRNA from 1 species